rnacentral:misc_RNA from 1 species
AGUCAUUUAAUUUAAUUUUGUCACCAGUUAUUAGUUGAAAUUAUUUUACCAGAAAUCGUCAUUUAUACCUUGCACACUCCAAUGAUAUUGUUUUGGACUUGUUAUUCUGUUAUCUCUGUUUGAAUACACAAGACCCCCUUUUUGUUUUGGGUGUAUGUGAAGCAUCCAUUGUUAAUCAUUAAUUAUCAAUCUGUUUUAAUAAUCAAAUGAAAUUGGCCGAGUACCACAGUUUUGUGUAUGCCCACACAUGGGGAAAAUCUACAUCAAAUUGGAUGGAUUUUUCUCCACACAUUUUUUUGAUAGCUUGGUCUAACUGGGGUGCAGAUUGGCAUUGCUGGUGCAGUUAUUUUAUCUUGCAGGUGCAGAACUACAAAUCUUGAUGGACCGGAAGUG